rnacentral:rRNA from 1 species
AACGGGUAAAGAAAUUGCCUCACAGAUAGGGACCACAUUUGGAAACGAAUGCUAAUGCCUGAUAUUAUGAUUUUUAGGGCAUCCUAGAAUUAUGAAAGCUAUAUGCGCUGUGAGAGAACUUUGCGUCCCAUUAGCUAGUUGGAGAGGUAGCGGCUCACCAAGGCGAUGAUGGGUAGCCGGCCUGAGAGGGUGAUCGGCCACAAGGGGACUGAGACACGGCCCUUACUCCUACGGGAGGCAGCAGUGGGGAAUAUUGGACAAUGGACCAAGAGUCUGAUCCAGCAAUUCUGUGUGCACGAUGAAGUUUUUCGGAAUGUAAAGUGCUUUCAGUUGGGAAGAAAAAAAUGACGGUACCAACAGAAGAAGUGACGGCUAAAUACGUGCCAGCAGCCGCGGUAAUACGUAUGUCACAAGCGUUAUCCGGAUUUAUUGGGCGUAAAGCGCGUCUAGGUGGUUACGUAAGUCUGAUGUGAAAAUGCAGGGCUCAACUCUGUAUUGCGUUGGAAACUGUGUAACUAGAGUACUGGAGAGGUAAGCGGAACUACAAGUGUAGAGGUGAAAUUCGUAGAUAUUUGUAGGAAUGCCGAUGGGGAAGCCAGCUUACUGGACAGAUACUGACGCUGAAGCGCGAAAGCGUGGGUAGCAAACAGG